rfam:Triticum aestivum genome assembly, contig: Triticum_aestivum_CS42_TGACv1_scaffold_408146_5BL
GUAGUAUUCCCUCCGUCCCAAAAUUCUUGUCUUACAUUUGUUUAGAUACGGAUGUAUCUAACACUAAAAUGUAAGUAGACACAUCCGUAUUUAGACAAAUUUAAGACAAGAAUUUUGGACGGAGGGAGUACAAA